UACAGAGGGGGCAAGCGUUGUUCGGAAUUACUGGGCGUAAAGGGCGCGUAGGCGGCCUGCUAAGUCGAACGUGAAAUCCCUGGGCUCAACCCAGGAACUGCGUCCGAUACUGGUUGGCUUGAAUCCGGGAGAGGGAUGUGGAAUUCCAGGUGUAGCGGUGAAAUGCGUAGAUAUCGGAAGGAACAUCAGUGGCGAAGGCGACUUCCUGGACCGGUAUUGACGCUGAGGCGCGAAAGCCAGGGGAGCAAACGGG
rnacentral:rRNA from 1 species